rnacentral:rRNA from 1 species
GUGUCAGCCGCCGCGGUAAAACGUAGGACGCAAGCGUUAUCCGGAGUUACUGGGCGUAAAGCGCGGGCAGGCGGCCAACCAAGUCUGAUGUGAAAUCUCUUCGCUCAACGGAGAGAGGCCAUUGGAAACUGGUCGGCUGGAGGGCAGUAGAGGUAGGCGGAAUUCCGGGUGGAGUGGUGAAAUGCGUAGAGAUCCGGAGGAACACCAGAGGCGAAGGCGGCCUACUGGGCUGCACCUGACGCUGAGCCGCGAAAGCCAGGGGAGCGAACGGGAUUAGAUACCCGCGUAGUCC